rnacentral:rRNA from 1 species
UGCAUGUCUAAGUAUAAGCAUUUAUACCGCGAGACUGCGAACGGCUCAUUAAAACAGUUAUGGUUUAUUUGAUGGUUCCUUUGCUACUUGGAUAACCGUAGUAAUUCUAGAGCUAAUACAUGCACGAAGGGGCGACUCACGAAGCCCUGUAUUUAUUAGAUUAAAGCCAACCACCUCCGGGUGUUCGUGGUGAAUCAUAGUAACUUCUCGGAUCGCCGGCUCUACGCCAGCGACGUGUCAUUCAAAUUUCUGCCCUAUCAGCUUUAGAUGGUAGGAUAUGGGCCUACCAUGGCGGUGACGGGUAACGGAGAAUUAGGGUUCGAUUCCGGAGAGGGAGCCUGAGAAACGGCUACCACUUCUAAGGAAGGCAGCAGGCGCGCAAAUUACCCAAUCCUGACUCAGGGAGGUAGUGACAAGAAAUAACAAUAAACCGGCUUAUGCCGGUUUAAUUGGAAUGAGUACAAUUUAAACAUCUUAACGAGG